GCAGGGUACUGUGGUACAUGCCUGUAAUCCCAGCAGCUCGGGAGGCUGAGACAGGAGGAUCACAAGUUCAAAGCCAGCCUCAGCAACUUAGUGAGACCCUGUCUCAA
rnacentral:sRNA from 1 species